CGACUCGUCAAAUAGAAACUGAAGCGCAGUUUUCCAUCCGCUCCACUAGGCGGCGUAAUCGAGCUUCAGGUUCAUUCUGUCAGCAGCUUCAGAUGAUUGACAACAUGGUGCUUGAUAUUGAUAACAGUCAAAGCCACAACAUGUGCAGUUUGUUUUAAUAAGGCUACACAUUCAGCAGAUGACAGCUCAGUGACAGACUCAUAAUGUCACUUAACAGCACAUAUUUCCAACCCAUAAACAGAGAAAACAGACAAACGUUGUGAUAAAGAGCAGGAAUCAAAGAUGUCACACGACUGGGCCUAAGGAAUGUGUUUGGACCGUUACAUCCAGUCAACAGAAGCAGAGCUCUGGGCCGUUUGGACGGACAUUCACUGUAUGAUGGACAUCAGCGCAGGCACAGUCAAAAGCAUAACCCCUGCUGGACAUCGUGCGGGAGCCCAGGGGGGGACCCCAUGAUCCCCCACACCUUCUCACUCACACCACUGCAUUCAUUCCUAUCGCAGAGAUCUGGCUGGACUCAAACCAGCAACCUCUGAAACCAUGAGGCAGCGCUCUUACCUGUGAGCCACAGAUCUCUUGUUUGAACAUGUGAAGGAACUUAUAUUUCACUAUUCACCUGUAUGUGAGCUGGGAUUUUACAAUAAACCAGUUAAAUGACACAUCUA